GGGAGGGCUGCCCUGCUAGGAUGAGCCUACAGGACGGACGCUGGCCGCCAGGCCGUGGGAGCCUGCACUAGACUGUCUCUGAAGUCCCUGCAGACCAGGACGUGCUUGAAGACCUGGAGGAUGCAGAUGUUUGGGGGCAGAAGUAGGUUGCCAAAUAAUGCGACGUCAGCGAUGAGCACAUUUGUUGAAAACCGUAAUGCAGCAGCCCCGGCAGAAGCCGCUGCGCCGCUAAGACCUCCUGACCUGGGCCUCACGGGAGAACGUUGUCACGUGUGAAUGGGGCUGUGUAGAGCUGGAACAGCUGAGGUUUUUGGAAAGGGUACAGGAGGUUUCUAUUCACAGCAUUUAAGCUUAUAAAAUUCCCAGCUUUCUCUCUCUUCUCCUACCUUCCCCAGGAAUGCUCCUCCCCACUUCCCAGGAUUCCCUGAUGGAGAGGCUGCUUACCCCUUUGAUGGGUGUUCACAUCUCUCACCUGGGAUGGACUCCCACAUCUGUCAAACUCUCAACCCUCAGCAUCUUCCCACUGUGCUAGUUCCUUCUGCCUGGCUUGCCCUCUUCUCUGCUUGGAAAACUCUUAUAAAUCCUUCAAGCCUUACUCAUUCGCUGCCUCUGACCCGAUAACGAAUUUCUCCCUCUCUCAUCCGGGCCCAGGAGCCUCUGUCUGGCUCUCACCAGUAUAGCAACAGGGAGUUUCCUGUCAGUCUCCCCGGCUGCUGUGAGCUCCUUAAGGCAGAAGGCCUGGCACACAGUAGGUGCAGAGUUCGUAGUUGCUGAAGGAUCGAAUGUGAGCAGGAUGCAUUUCCCCAAGGCUAGAGCUGUCAAGUCAAGGGGAAACCCACCAGGCAUACCACUGGCAGAGCUGGAUCAGCCAUGUGAAAAGAGGGAAAGUGAGCAUGGCAGCCAGGACCUGCGCCUUUCUCAAGGUCUGCGUGUGAUGUUCCCAGCAAAGGCCACAGAGGUUGCCCUGCGACCUGUGUCCUGCAGGGUCACCUCUGCUGGGCAGCAGUCAUGUCUUCAGACAACUGGAGAGUAUGUUGAGGGAAGGUCAUCUUGCAGUGCCCACGGUGAAGUGACAGACCCAUUGCCUGCAGAAGGCACCCUUUGAAAGAGAAACCAGCUUCUAGGGAUGCUCACAGCCUCCUCACUAGUCAUUCUGCCUGAGGCAAGUGGGGAGGCCUCACAAGGUGGGUGGCUGAGAGAAAAGGGAUUCCGAUUAGAGGAAAUGGGGUCUUCAACCUGAUUGGGCCCCUAACUAGCUGUGUGACCUUAGACAAGUUACUUGACCUCUCUGAGUUUCUCUUUACUUCUCUAUAACCCAGGCUGACUUCUUGGGUAUGUGACUGAUGCUGUCACACAGAACCUCCUCUUAGAGAGGCUCUGUGCUUGGUUUAAUGAUCUGCUUUUGCCAUCUUAAAUUCUUAAUCAUUUUUGAACCUUUUCAUUUUGCACUGAAUCCCACAAAUUAUGUGCCUGGUGCUGGUGAUAACACGCACCUCACUGGGUUACUGUGACACUUUGCUGAGAUCCUGUUUGCACAAACAUCUAACACAUGGGCUCUUGACAGAAGUGAGCUUCCGUUUCUCUCACCUGGUCUUCAAGAUGAAUAGAAAGUCAGCAGGCAGACGGAAGGCACGGGAGGGGCGUUUCAGGUGGGGGGCAAAGGUCAGAGAAUAUGAAAUUACAUUCUGGGAAGAGCAAAUGGCCUGGGCUGCGGGUGGAGAGUAGAGGAAGGUAAAACUGAAGAGAUGCAUGGGGCCAGAGGGAAAGGCCUUCUGCUUCUUUAAAGGCAUCUGGAUCUCAGGUCUGGAGGCCUGAAGGCGAGGCAGGUGGCACUGAACGCCAGCAUCCUUAGCCUGCAGUUCCUGGCGGAGGGCUUUCCAUAACGAGACAGGUAGUGGAUGGCGUGGGCGCAAGCCCUGCUUGGAGGCUGCCAAUAUGGGUAUUCGAAACAUUCGCUGUAGACACAGUGGGAAAAUGCUGUAGGUGUCAAAGCCAGCAGCUGUGCUGGGGGACCUGGGGACACUGGGCCAGAUGAAUAAUGGAACAGCCCUUCCUCCCCGGGUCUCUUUUUCUAUCCUUUCAAUAAUUCAUGCAUUCUGCCUCGG
rnacentral:lncRNA from 1 species